GAUGAACGCUGGCGGCGUGCCUAAUACAUGCAAGUCGAGCGAACAGACGAGGAGCUUGCUCCUCUGACGUUAGCGGCGGACGGGUGAGUAACACGUGGAUAACCUACCUAUAAGACUGGGAUAACUUCGGGAAACCGGAGCUCAUACCGGAUAAUAUAUUGAACCGCAUGGUUCAAUAGUGAAAGACGGUUUUGCUGUCACUUAUAGAUGGAUCCGCGCCGCAUUAGCUAGUUGGUAAGGUAACGGCUUACCAAGGCAACGAUGCGUAGCCGACCUGAGAGGGUGAUCGGCCACACUGGAACUGAGACACGGUCCAGACUCCUACGGGAGGCAGCAGUAGGGAAUCUUCCGCAAUGGGCGAAAGCUUGACGGAGCAACGCCGCGUGAGUGAUGAAGGUCUUCGGAUCGUAAAACUCUGUUAUUAGGGAAGAACAAAUGUGUAAGUAACUAUGCACGUCUUGACGGUACCUAAUCAGAAAGCCACGGCUAACUACGUG
rnacentral:rRNA from 1 species